rnacentral:rRNA from 1 species
UGGGGAAUAUUGCACAAUGGGGGAAACCCUGAUGCAGCCAUGCCGCGUGUAUGAAGAAGGCCUUCGGGUUGUAAAGUACUUUCGGUGGUGAGGAAGUUGUGUGUAUGAAAAGUGCAUAUAAUUGACGUUAGCCACAGAAGAAGCACCGGCUAACUCCGUGCCAGCAGCCGCGGUAAUACGGAGGGUGCGAGCGUUAAUCGGAAUGACUGGGCGUAAAGGGCAUGUAGGCGGAUGAUUAAGUUAGGUGUGAAAGCCCCGGGCUCAACCUGGGAAUAGCAUUUAAAACUGGUCGUCUGGAGUACUGUAGAGGGAGGUAGAAUUCCACGUGUAGCGGUGAAAUGCGUAGAGAUGUGGAGGAAUACCGGUGGCGAAGGCGGCCUUCUGGACAGAUACUGACGCUGAGAUGCGAAAGCGUGGGGAGCAAACAGG